rnacentral:rRNA from 1 species
UACAGAGGGUGCAAGCGUUGCUCGGAAUUAUUGGGCGUAAAGGGUAGGUAGGUGGUCUUGUUUGUCUGGGGUGAAAGCCUUGAGCUUAACUCAAGAAGUGCCUUAGAAACGGCAAGACUAGAGUGCUGGAGAGGGUCGUGGAAUUCCCGGUGUAGCGGUGAAAUGCGUAGAGAUCGGGAGGAACACCAGAGGCGAAGGCGGCGACCUGGACAGUGACUGACACUCAACUACGAAAGCGUGGGGAGCAAACAGG